rnacentral:lncRNA from 1 species
AGUAUUUUGUACAUCAUAUGGUCGCCACAGUAGACCAAAAGUCAGAAAGGCAGUUUGUGACUACAUAUGUAUUGCAACAUGGAGAGCAAAGCAAAAACUUCUAAAGAAUUCAAAAACAUAUCACGAGAAGCAGUUUUGAGAUCAUUUAUAUCUGGAUACUCUGUCAUCCAAGUAAUAUUUUAUAACUUGUAUGUUGGUGAACUGUUAAGAUAGUCUAAUAGUAACUAGUUGUAAUGGGAAUGGAUUAUACAAUUUCUUUUGUCAGUAAUUAAAUGUAGGUCUUUCCACUUUUCCGUUGAAAGACCUAUUGGUUUUGUUCUGUUUUGUUCUGUGUUUAUUGUUUUGUUUUGCCAAAUUUUUUAGUCACUAUGGCUAAAAUGGAACAUAGGGGUAAAACGCAUUUUUUGUUGCUUUUAAGUAAGACAUGACAAAUUCAAAGAACAUUUAAACUGAAUUUUUAAGCCACUCAUUAAUAUAUAUUGAAAAGCAAAAAGAAUCAUUGAUGAAAGAUUUAAGCAAAAAAUUACAGGUGAGCAAUUCAGGCUCUGGAGAGUCUCUUGUUUCUUACACUGUAUUUUUGUAUGUAAUAUCAUACAGUCUAUACGCUUUAGAAACUGACCCUAAUUUACCCUUUUCUGUGUAAGAGUUAUCUCCCCAAACACUGUUUUUCUUGUUAUGAGAUCUCCUUCGAAACCGUGGGAGAAAGCGACAAAUAUUUUUUUUCUAAAAUGCUCAUAUCCUCAGGCCACACUUAAAAAUAUUUUGGUUUGCCCAAACCCUACUUUCCUAAAGGUUUUUAUGAGACAGUUUUGGGUAGGUAGGUAAGCUUAUUUUCUUUUCUUUUUUUUCAAAAAAGAAAAUUGAAGUAUCAGAUUUUAUUAGUCUUCAUGACCUAUUGAUUAAAAAAAACUUCUUCAAAUCAGGACAUUAAAAGAAUUUGAGUAGUCGGCUUUUUUCUGGGUAGGUAGCGUUUGGACAAACAAACCUGUUAUUUCUUGUUGCCCCAGGAUGUUACGUUUUAUUUUGACCGAUGCUAUCUGGAGACUCCAUAUGAGAGUUAUUCCCCUUAAGCAUUUGAUAUAAUGAUAUAAUUCUUCUUGUGUAUACCCCUUUCUAACAGGCCGAAAUUUGAUUUUAUACAUGAUAAUCUAAAACAAAUAGAACACUUUAGUUAUUUCCCAAUACAGCAAGAACUUGUUUGCUUAAAGCAGUCGCUUUUUAGCUGUCCAGUUCUAAAUCUCAUGUUAAUUAAGUUGUUUAUAUUUUUACUCUUUGUCUAAAUGAUUGUCCUGAAUAUACUAGUAUCUGAAAUAAUUGCCUAUUGAUGAAUAGAUUUAUGACCACUUCUCUAGUUUAUAAUGAAAUUUUAAAGUGCUCUAAUAUCAAAACAGCAAAAAAGGAACGUGCCAUUUUGUUUACUCAGAAGUCAUGAAAAAACCUUUACAAUAAUAAAAAAAUCAAACUAAAAAAUCGUGCAGCUCAAGUCGAAAGCACAUUAGAAGGUGUACUUGAUUGGUCCAUAUUUUAUACUUUUUUUAGUAAAUCUUUAGUAGCACUGAAUGCAAUAAUCUUCUAUUAUACACCGAAUUGUCAAAUAUAAAAGUACAAGCGGAAACGCUGUUAACUUUCUACAAAAUAAUUAAUUGUUCAGCAUCGAAUUAAUAAAAGGGUACAACAAUCCGUAACCAAGCAACAAUCAUUGAUCUAUGAUGUCAACUGGUAUUUGAUGGAUAGCUGUCUCAUCGGCAGUCAACAUAGUACUACAUUUGCAAUAUCUCCAGAUUUUUAUUACGAUUUCAUAAUGUUCGUAUUUUUAUUUCAAACUUCGACAAUGCUUCAGUAUGGUUACUUCGAGCGUUGACAUAUAUAGAUACAUGUAGAAUACAGUUGGUCAAUUUGUGAAUGACCUUGGGUGUUGAGGUACUAGUCAUUCUUCAAGUGACACCAGAUACCUGAUCACCACUCGUAGUUUGAAGGUGUCGGCAUUGUUCUAUAUUUUUGUGAUUUAUAUUUUCUAUGUAGUGUGUUUUUGGAAAGCCAAACAUAUAAAAUUAUCUCGCGUAUCAUGAUCGGUAAAGCUAAACCAUAUUAGCCAAAACUGUGUCGGAAUGGAAUUGUAACUUUACUUUCAAGUUCAUCAAUCUGAUUUUUAAUUACAGAUAUAAAAAAAAUAUAAGACUAAGAGGAUGUGUGGCCGAGUGUUCUAUGUUGUUCAUUUACAGUGAUCACUAGCUUGUCAAAACUGAAAAAGUUCGAGUUUUAAUCCGCUUUUGGGGAACUCUGGAUUUGCUAGGAUUAACAGUAUUCCAGUCGGUGGUUACCGCCAGGUACUUCAAAGUUCUCCCACGACAAAAGCUGGUCGUCAUUUAGAGUCAAAUCAAAAAUCUUUAUAAAGGGGUGGCGUGAUUCCAUAAAACGGGGAAAUAUAUCAGGACCAUUUGAUGCUAAAAAUGAAAAACUUUACAACCACCUUUGGCAGUCCGCCACUGCCAUUAUAUACUAUUUAGUGUGGUGCCGCGUACACCAAAAAUCAACGCGUUUAGAUUUAAAUACUUAAAAUGCUCUGUUCUUGAGGGAUGAAAUCAAUAUGUAAACAUAAAUAUAUAUCUGCAAAUUUAUAAAUCUCACAUUGUUGGGCUGUUAUUUAGACAAAUUAUAUAUACAGAAUGUUUUCAACCUUGUAUCACCAUCACUGGUGAUCCGAUAGAUAAAAUGUGUCGCAGAGUUGUCACUGCAUGUUCAGACAUUUAAAUGAUGACAAUCAAUCAUUGAAUUACAUUUCGUGAUCCGAGUUAAAUAUAAAGCUUAAGUUAUCCCACAUGAAUUAAAUUCGGUACACUCAUAGUAACGGAAUUUUCAGAUUCAAUUUACUACUGAUGUUUAACAAUAUUGUCGCCGUAUUAUAGAUUUGUUAGAAAGAAAAAAAAUAUUUGCAAAACAGAUGUUUUAAGAAAACAUGGCUGUGGCAUAUAUUGAGUGUUUACCUGUUAAAGAUUUUCCUUUCAGAAGAUUAGCAUAACAGAAACCCAAUAAUUUUCAGUUGCUAUAAAAAAAAAUGUACAUUUUUGACCAGAGUUUGUAGUUAGACGGUGAUGUAUUUAAUGUUUUUGCAGAUUUUUGUGAGUCCAAUGGUCAACAAACCCAUACAAGAGCUAAGGCCAGACGAGCUAUGCACAAUAGUAUAACUUCUACAAGAUGGCAUGCUAACCACAGAUUGAGAUUACAAUAUCAUGAUUAGGAACUAAUUAUGCUGUCAGGCAAUUCAUGCUUAUAUUCUUACAACACAAUGAUCUUAUUCGACCGUAGAUCUGGAAGUACAUCUUACAGGAAAUAGUUAACGAUAAUAUGAAAGUGUAUGUUUAAAAUUUUCGUCACUCACUUGUUAGCCUUUUCGUCAUUUUUCGGUUUUUGCCUUGUUAGUGUGACUUCGACCAACGAGUUUGAAUAUCCUUUUCCGCCUCGUUUUUAAAGAUCUAACUACUUAUCUAACAAAGUAUAGAAAGAGGACACGGAUCCGAGUGAAUGAAACGGAUAAACAUUAACGAUGCGUCCAGAUUUGAAUUUCAACGGCUUAAGUCUGUCAGGUCAAAGCAUGCUCGAGGCCAAAACAUUUGAAAAAUCCAAAACCAAAAUGAACAAAGAAAGAAAGCUAAACCAAGACAAGGAAUCAGAUUUCAGUGCAUCCUUUAUUUGAAUUAUAAAACAUCGAAUAUACAUACAAUCAAUAUCCGCAUUUUUAUGUCAGUACUUCGAAUAUCUGAAGAGAUUAUUGAUGACUUGGUGAAGACUGGUGUUCAAUUUCUUUCAAAUUGAAAGGUUUUUAUGCAUAGAUUGGACCAGAUUAAAUUUGCCGUUAUUUAUUCAUCAUCCACGCACGAACUUGUCGUAGCAAAAAAUAAUCUCUGUACAUUAUUAACCUCAGUUUCAGGUAAAGAGGACUGGUGUGAUUUUUUUUCUCGGUGACAAGUGCUUUUGGCCAUCCCUAAGAUCUUCCGAUGUUCAGUACUUUAGUACUUUGAUUGCUCUUUUUGUUGAGAGGCAGACAGACAGAAAGACAUACAAGAGGUGAUUUAGGGGUGGGGCAAGAAUUCUGGGCCACCCUUUCGUUGGAAAAAAAAUUGUUAUUUAGAGAAUCACUGAAGAAUAAUUUACUUGAAUAGGUCCCCUCUUAAGCGUUCAGUUGGCCCCACUUAUGAAUGUUUCUGGAACCACCACUAUAUACAAUUAUCAGUUAGUUAACAUAUUAAAAAAAAAAACAUUUUAAACAGAUUUUUAUUUUUUACAUACAAUAAAGGGACGACAUAAAAAAAUCAAUGAAGGAUACAAAACUUAAUUCAAAUAGUUUAGGGGGGGGGGUGUUACAAAUUGCUGCAAGUUUUGUUUAAUUGAUAUAUAAUUUAUAUAUAUUCUUAUUGGUCAAUCAAUUGUUCCCAAAUUAAGUAAAAAAAUGCGGUUUUUAUCCAACGCAAUCAUGAACGUUGUUUUCAAUUUAGACUUGUUUAUAUUUUUAUAUAUUAUAUUUUUAUAUAUAUAUUGCAAUGCAUAUUUAACAUUGUUAUGCUGAUAUUUAGAGUUGUAAUAUAUGUAUUGUAGUUUUAUUUUGC